rnacentral:rRNA from 1 species
AGGGAUCAUUACUGAGUUACCGCAUCUAUAACCCUUUGUGAACAUACCUAACCGUUGCUUCGGCGGGCAGGGGAAGCCUCUCGCGGGCCUCCCCUCCCGGCGCCGGCCCCCACCACGGGGACGGGGCGCCCGCCGGAGGAAACCAAACUCUAUUUACACGACGUCUCUUCUGAGUGGCACAAGCAAAUAAUUAAAACUUUUAACAACGGAUCUCUUGGUUCUGGCAUCGAUGAAGAACGCAGCGAAAUGCGAUAAGUAAUGUGAAUUGCAGAAUUCAGUGAAUCAUCGAAUCUUUGAACGCACAUUGCGCUCGCCAGCAUUCUGGCGAGCAUGCCUGUUCGAGCGUCAUUUCAACCCUCAAGCACCGCUUGGUUUUGGGGCCCCACGGCACACGUGGGCCCUUAAAGGUAGUGGCGGACCCUCCCGGAGCCUCCUUUGCGUAGUAACUAACGUCUCGCACUGGGAUCCGGAGGGACUCUUGCCGUAAAACCCCCAAAUUUUUUACAGGUUGACCUCGGAUCAGGUAGGAAUACCCGCUGAACUUAAGCAUUCU